ensembl:lncRNA
AUGAUCAGCCUGUGACGCCCAAAGCCAAGAGGAAUGGUGUGUAUCAGACCAUAUAGGGAGAUGAUGAGCACUAUGUUCAGUUCAGAACUCCUCUUGAUGUGGAUGACUGCUGGUUCAAAGAGAAACAGAAACUCUGGAAGGUGGCCAAGUGGUGCAAUAGGUUAAGUUGAUAUAAUGAGAGGUUCGUAGAUUGACACCUCAUUGAGGAUUAGAUGCUAUUCUCAGAUCAAUCGUUACCAGUUGAUACCCAUACCUCAGACAGAGACAGAGGCUUAAUAGUUUGGCGUUUCAACUAGUGGAGGCUGCUGAGUGGAGGAUGGCUCAUAAUAAUGGCUGUAAUGAAGUGUAAAGGCCUUUAAUUAAGUGAAUGAAAUGGUAUCAAAACAAUGAGAACCAUGUGUUUGAUACCGUUCUGUUCACUCCAUUCUGGCCAUUAUUAUGAGCCGUCCUCCCCUCAGCAGCCUCUACUGGUUUCAAAAUAGGGUGGCAGGUAGCUUAGCGUUUAAGAGCGUUGGGCCAGUAACCAAAAGGUCACUAGUUUGAAUCCCAGACCCGACUAGGUGAAACAUCUGAUGUGCCCUUGAGCAUGGCACUUAACUCUAAUUGAGUCAUCAUCUUGUAAGUCGCUCUGGAUAAGAGCAUCUGCUAAUUGACAAAAAUGCAUGACAGUGUGAUUCUGGGUCCUGUCUGUCUAGGUCUCAGUGACCUGAGAGAGUGGAAGAAGGAGAAGGAAUGGAAGUAUUUCACUCAUUUUGAGGAACCUGUCUCUCCUGAGCCAGAGACACCUACUGAGCAGGCUAAAGCCGUGACCGAGACCACUGGGAAAUUCAGAUCACGUCUCUCUGUCACCUCAGAUCAAGAUGUAAGUAAUAUCGCUGUCUACCUAUCUCUCUCUCUUUCUAUCGCUCUCUCUCUUCCUCUCUCUUUCUCUCAGUGAUGACACAGGUUGAAGCUAGAGUCAUCUGUGCUUUCGGCUCUGGGGGGCUGUGUGGGCAUUCUCUUCACCUGAUUAAUGCAUUCAUAUUUUACUGCUCAAACACUGCUCACUUCAGCCUGUUGGCAGAGAAUUGCUUAAUGCACUUAUAUUUUUACUGUCUGGGUACAAGGGGUAUGGGGAAAUGCCUAACUUCCUAAACUGAAUUUUCACUUAAUCAUGCAUUGAUAUCAAUGGGAGACUUAGUGCAAAUUUGACUUUAAGUGGAAGUUAGAAUUGACCCCUUAUGAGUGGAUUUGUAACGUCCCCCUUUUCCUCUAUCAGAGCUGUAUCUUGCAGAUAGAUCUCUGUAAGCCAGAGGGAGGGUGGCUGGGCUUUGCUCUGAUUGGAGGAUGCAAUGGGAGCGUGCUCAGAGUGAAGAAGAUCUGCACUGGAGGCGUGGCCCACCAAGACGGGCGGCUCAGAGUGGGAGACAUACUGCUCGAGGUACGCACAAGCACGUACACACACACACACUUAUCAAUAACUGAUUAUGAGUCCUAACAUUACUUUUAAUAUAUUUGUAGUAAAUACAGUGAGCUCCAAAAGUAUUGGGACAGUAACAUUUUGUUUUUGUUUUGGCUCUGUACUCCAGCACUUUGGAUUUGAAAUGAUACAAUGACUAUGAGGUUAAAGUGCAUUUUGGGUAAACCGUUUGAGAAAUUACAGCACUUUUUGUAUGUAGUCCCUCAAUUUUAGAGGACCAAAGGUAUUGGGACAAAUUCACUUACUAUAUAUGUAUAAAAAUAGUA